rnacentral:lncRNA from 10 species
ACAGGAUCUCCACUUCUUCCAAUCAAUCUUAAAGUCUAAAAAAUAAAAGAUUUGGAAAUCAGAGGUGCAUUUCCUUCAUCAUCAGGGGACGUGGAUGAAGCUGGAAACCAUCAUCCUCAGCAAACUAACACAGGAACAGAAAACCAAACACCGCAUGUUCUCACUCAUAAGUGGGAGUUGAACCAUAAGAACACAUGGACACAGGGAGGAGAACAUCACACAUCGGGGCCUGUUGCGAGGCGGAGGGAAAGGGAAGGAAAGCAUUAGGACAAAUACCUAAUGCAUGUGGGGCUUAAAACAUAGAUGAUGGGUUGACAGGUGCAGCAAACCACCAUGGCACAUGUAUACCUAUGUAAUAAACCUGCACGUUCAGCACAUGGAUCCCAGAACUUAAAGUAAAAUUUUAAAAAAGGACAUUUUAAUACAAUAUUACACAGAAAUAAAAUCAUUCAUCUAUUACCUAGAUUGUCAAGCAAAAAUUGUGAUAUAUUUGGAUAUAUUGUAUCAAAAUAACAAAUUUUUAGUCCUGAGUUUCAUAUAAGAGAAGAAAUAUUUCAAAGGAUAACCCUUAGUGGAAAAGAUCUUUCUUUUCCCCUGCCGUUGAAAACAUAGUGCUUGAAAGCUAUAGUGUAUCUCAUCUUAUAACAUGGCUAUGAUGAGAAGUUUAAGGUAAUUAUAAUACACAUACAUGUCAGGUUGUCUUUGACCCCCAGGUUUCAACUUUAUUAAAACGGAAACCCAGAUAUUUUCUGAGAAAAAAAUCUGCCUUGUAAUUUGAUGAAUCGACCAUUGUGUGGGUUAAUAAAUAUUCUAGGCUUGAUUUGUGAUAAGUCUUCUUCAUUUUUUGACUUCUGUGAGGUUUGGCCACCACUAAAUCUCACUAGGUUUCUUCUGGGGGAAGUUAGGCCUGCCUUCCUCAGAACCUUCUGCUCUUGUCAGCGAGUCUUCUUCAUUCAGUAUUCAUCCAUGACAUUGUUUAGGAAGGGUCAGUAGUCUGAGACUUUAUCUGUUUGACCCAAGCAAGAGAUUGUCAGAUCAGAAAAAACAGCCACAGCCCCUUGUCACUGCUCUGGUCAUAAGUUUAUAGUUCAGGCUUCUCUUUGCAAAGGAUCAUCAACAUCAACAUGUUGUUUCCAGGGUCAUAAAUUUGCAAUGUGAUGAGACAUAACCAGAUGUUGCCAAACGUGAAUUGACUCAUAAAGCAGCCUCUCUCCUGCUCUGUCUUUCUUCCCAACUCAGAGAAGCUGGUGGUCCAUUUAAUUCUUCAUAUCUAGCUUGGGGGGCUUGAUGGUCCAGAAUGAAGUCAAUCAUUUUCAGUACCAAUUAUAUUUUUCAAGCUGAAUACUGGUGUGGUCAUUAGCACCUACCCCACAGAUAUUUUCUGUGACUUGAACUCCUGAAUAGAAUUUACUGCCAUUCUUGGACAGACUUUUGUUUUAUCUUUUAGUUGUUGCAAUGGUGGCUGUUGUUAUGCUGGUGUUCUUUGUAUACAGCGAUGGGAGAAAAUGACAUGUCAAUCUACAGUCCUUGCUCCCACCCAACAUGUAUGGCUUGAUUUUACAUGAUUCCAAUUAUUUCAAAUGUGUUAGGACUUGUUUUAAUGCCCUAAGAUACAGUAAAUUUCAAUCAAUGUUCCAGAAAGUUGUUCUAGAUACAGCAAAUUUUUGAAGUUGUUUGGGUUUUUGCACAUUCCCCAGCAUUUCAAAGAUUUUAAAAAGUUGAAGCAACUUAGGCCAUGGAAGUUAAGCAAAUCAUACAAGCUCAGACCAUUUGUUACUCAAAUCCAAGGCUCCAGACUUCUGCUUGGGUGUGUCAUUGCACUUCUUUAGGAAACCAAUAGUUUAUAACCUGGACAUAGUAAAAAUGUGUAAUUGUAAUCCUAGCCCUGUAGAUAUAAAGCUAGGUUAAAUUUAAAGCAAAGUUCAUUCGAAGUAAAAAUAGACUUUAAAAGUCAGGUGUUCUAAGCCUUCAUGGUAGAUUAUUGUUUUUCUAAAUUCUAGUUUUCUAUUUUAUAAAACUAGAAUCAUAGUAACAAUAUAUCACUGUAUCAUAAUAUUAUUUGUAAAGCACAUCGAUUAGGAGUCCUCAUAAAAAGUCCUUUGAAUUAUCUAUGAAAAAGGUCUAUAAUGUUAUCUAACUUAUAAUUUUAUGUCAGAAUUUUUUUUUAUUCUUUUCUGUUCGUUCUUACUCUUGGUGGCAUGAUUAGGGUUGUUUCAGUAGCAAUUGGCUAUUCUUUUAUGACCAGCAGAGUUAGGAAAGAGUACAAGAGAAAAAUAGCUGACAUAAGAAUCAAGCAUCUUUAAGUAAAGUAAGAAUUCUACGCCACUUCAAUUUUUCAGAAAAAAAAAUGCUAACAAGUGAUUUAUAUAUUCUGCAUUGGUAAUUGUUAUUGUUUUAUUUUAUAUUAUUUAUGUUUUUCUUAAUUUAAGACUCUUUUACUUCUGCAGGUAUGUUUUCUUUAAAUAAAGC